CCUACGGGGGGCAGCAGUGAGGAAUAUUGGUCAAUGGGCGCGAGACUGAACCAGCCAAGUAGCGUGAAGGAUGACUGCCCUACGGGUUGUAAACUUCUUUUAUAAAGGAAUAAAGUGAGGCACGUGUGCCUUUUUGUAUGUACUUUAUGAAUAAGGAUCGGCUAACUCCGUGCCAGCAGCCGCGGUAAUACGGAGGAUCCGAGCGUUAUCCGGAUUUAUUGGGUUUAAAGGGAGCGUAGAUGGGUUGUUAAGUCAGUUGUGAAAGUUUGCGGCUCAACCGUAAAAUUGCAAUUGAUACUGGCAGUCUUGAGUACAGUUGAGGUAGGCGGAAUUCGUGGUGUAGCGGUGAAAUGCUUAGAUAUCACGAAGAACUCCGAUUGCGAAGGCAGCUUACUAAACUGCCACUGACAUUGAUGCUCGAAAGUGUGGGUAUCAAACAGGAUUAGAUACCCUAGUAGUC
rnacentral:rRNA from 1 species